rnacentral:rRNA from 1 species
UACGGAGGGGGCUAGCGUUGUUCGGAAUUACUGGGCGUAAAGCGCACGUAGGCGGGCGGAGAAGUCAGAGGUGAAAUCCCAGGGCUCAACCUUGGAACUGCCUUUGAAACUUUCUGUCUUGAGGUCGAGAGAGGUGAGUGGAAUUCCGAGUGUAGAGGUGAAAUUCGUAGAUAUUCGGAGGAACACCAGUGGCGAAGGCGGCUCACUGGCUCGAUACUGACGCUGAGGUGCGAAAGCGUGGGGAGCAAACAGG